rnacentral:lncRNA from 1 species
CGCUUCAGCCCAGCCGUUCUCCCUGCAAAGAGUUAACCACAGCGCGUUUUGGGGAGCCAUUUUCUCUCCCUUACUCUUUCAGCACCUUUUGCAUGUGCAAAUGCAUCUCGGCCCUGAGAGCCCAGAAAUAAUAAGGGUUUUUUUAGCAGCUUCUGAGAUUCCAGGGCAUCUUUGUUAUCCUGCCUCUGCCGAAGCCUCGGGAAAGGCAGAGCCUGGCCGGUCCCCGGCGGCGCAGCGGAGGCUGCAGACAAAGGGCGGCCGCGUCCAGACGCCGCUUCUGCAGCGAGUGCCUYGGUCCAGACCCUGGGCUGCGCGCCGGCCGGAGCAGAGGGCCCACGCUCUCCUCCCGGGAAUGCCCAAAUCCUGCUUCUUAAAGAUCACCCUCUCCCGGCAAAGGAUUACCCUCCUCUUCGGGAGCUCAGUGUGCRUCCAGGCCCACGGUGGGCACGGCUCCCUCCUGGCACUGCCGGGAGAAACAGAAGGCAGAGGCUCUGCAUUGCCCUUCACUCGCGUUAUAGCAGCCCGGGCUGCUGUGAGUGUCCAGGUACUGAGGAGAAGCCUGAGGUGGAGCUGUGGGCUUGGGGUGGCAUCUCGAGGGUGCGGAGCUCACCUGACUCUGCGGGAAGGGUCUGGGAAUUGCCAUGUUUUCCUUAGGCAGUGCCAGGACAGGGCUUUUCAUCCUUCUGGGCUGAGAAGAUGCAUCUGCCUCCUGUCCAGCCGGGGCCUGUCCCCUUCCCCAUGACAGCGCGGAGCAUGGCAGAGGAAAUCUGCGUGGAGCCGGCGGGGUGCCCUGCUGGGGGCACCGAGGGCUGGAGGCUCCCGGCGCCUCCUCCGGCACGGAUCUCCCCUCUCUGCCCUGCAGGGAGCUGGCCCCUGCCUCGCCCCGGCACGAAGCUCUGCCUGGCCAGCGCCCGGCCCAUCCUGUAAGCUCAGCUCUCUGUCCCAGCAGUGGGGGGGUUGAUCCGAGGAUGCAGCCUUGGAAGCUUGAUCCCUUUAAGCCGCAGCCGGUCCAGGCCUUGCAGGGAUGGGGGCCCGGGCUGCCUCGCUGGAGCCGUGCCAGGGGAGGACCUCGGGCAGCUGAGUUGGUGCAGCCCCACGUGUGCCCUGCGGGUGCUGGCUGGCACAGCAGCUCUCUUCUCCCUGCCUGCCGGCCCCACGGCUCCCCCGGCAAGGCCGUGGCAGGCUCUGCAGGAGGGGACAGCCCCAGGGACACUCAGGACAGGGGAAGCUUUGUCCAAGCCCUUCUGGGCUCCGGAGUGGCACCAGGCAUCUGCCCCGGCCUCUGCUGGGCUCUGCCCGKGGAUGGGGAGAGGCUGCCAGCGGAAAGUCCUGCAUGUUGUUCUSUCUUGCUGCGUUGGUUGUUUUCUUUUGCAGCCGCUAAUGACUGACCUGAGGUCUGUUCACACACAGUCCCCUGCGCAGCCUCCACGGCGGAGCAGCGAGACAAGACGGGGGGCAUUUUACAGCACUCGCCUAGCCGCUGACAUCAGGUAGGACCCCGGGGCGGGGGGUGACGCAGAGCAGCCCCAGCGC